rnacentral:rRNA from 1 species
GAUGAACGCUGGCGGCGUGCCUAAUACAUGCAAGUCGAGCGAACAGAUGAGGAGCUUGCUCCUCUGACGUUAGCGGCGGACGGGUGAGUAACACGUGGAUAACCUACCUAUAAGACUGGGAUAACUUCGGGAAACCGGAGCUAAUACCGGAUAAUAUAUUGAACCGCAUGGUUCAAUAGUGAAAGACGGUUUUGCUGUCACUUAUAGAUGGAUCCGCGCCGCAUUAGCUAGUUGGUAAGGUAACGGCUUACCAAGGCAACGAUGCGUAGCCGACCUGAGAGGGUGAUCGGCCACCCUGGAACUGAGACACGGUCCAGACUCCUACGGGAGGCAGCAGUAGGGAAUCUUCCGCAAUGGGCGGAAGCCUGACGGAACAACGCCGCGUGAGUGAUGAAGGUCUUCGGAGCGUAAAACUCUGUUAUUAGGGAAGAACAAAUGUGUAAGUAACUAUGCACGUCUUGACGGUAACUAAUCAGAAAGCCACGGCUAACUACGUG